AACGCACAUUGCGCCCGCCAGCAUUCUGGCGGGCAUGCCUGUUCGAGCGUCAUUUCAACCCAUCAGGCCCCCGGGCUUGCGUUGGGGCCCUGCGGCUGCCGCAGGCCCCGAAAAGCAGUGGCGGGCUCGCUGUCACACCGAGCGCAGUAGCGAUUCUCGCUCCGGGCGUCGGCGGCGGGCACCGGCCGUGAAACCCCCUCCACACACAAGGUUGACCUCGGAUCAGGUAGGAAUACCCGCUGAACUUAA
rnacentral:misc_RNA from 1 species